GAAUCGGUUGUGGCGGCCGCCGGCGAGGAAUGGCGGUAUUUGUGAGAGGAGUCGGCGUUUGAAGAGGUGGAACUCCUAGGGCUUUUUUGAGAGUGACGGAGUCUACCUCUUGUUACCUAGACUGGAGUGCAGUGGCACGAUCUCGGCUCACUGCAACCUCUGCCUCCCGGGUUCAAGCGAUUCUCCUGCCUCAGCCUCCUGAGUAGCUGGGAUUACAGGUGCCUGCCACCAAGCCCAGCUAAUUUUUGUAUUUUUAGUAGAGACGGGGUUUCAUUGUGUUGGCCAGGCUGGUCUCGAACUCCUGACCUCGUGAUCCGCCCGCCUUGGCCUCCCAAAGUGCUAGGAUUACAAGUGUGAGCCACCGCGUCCGGCCUUUCAAAUGCUGAUUUAGAAGAAUACAAAUCAUGGCUGAAAAUAGUGUAUUAACAUCCACUACUGGGAGGACUAGCUUGGCAGACUCUUCCAUUUUUGAUUCUAAAGUUACUGAGAUUUCCAAGGAAAACUUACUUAUUGGAUCUACUUCAUAUGUAGAAGAAGAGAUGCCUCAGAUUGAAACAAGAGUGAUAUUGGUUCAAGAAGCUGGAAAACAAGAAGAACUUAUAAAAGCCUUAAAGACUAUUAAAAUAAUGGAAGUCCCUGUUAUAAAGAUAAAAGAAAGUUGUCCUGGAAAAUCGGAUGAAAAAUUAAUAAAAAGUGUUAUUAAUAUGGACAUUAAAGUGGGCUUUGUAAAGAUG
rnacentral:lncRNA from 1 species